rnacentral:rRNA from 1 species
AAUGGGCGAAAGCCUGACGGAGCAAGACCGCGUGGGGGAAGAAGGCUCUUGGGUUGUAAACCCCUUUUCUCUGGGAAGAACGCAAUGACGGUACCAGAGGAAUCAGCAUCGGCUAACUCCGUGCCAGCAGCCGCGGUAAGACGGAGGAUGCAAGCGUUAUCCGGAAUGAUUGGGCGUAAAGCGUCCGCAGGUGGCAGUUCAAGUCUGCUGUCAAAGACCGGGGCUCAACCUCGGAAAGGCAGUGGAAACUGAACAGCUAGAGUAUGGUAGGGGCAAAGGGAAUUCCUGGUGUAGCGGUGAAAUGCGUAGAGAUCAGGAAGAACAUCGGUGGCGAAGGCGCUUUGCUGGACCAUAACUGACACUCAGGGACGAAAGCUAGGGGAGCGAAUGGGAUUAGAUACCCC